rnacentral:rRNA from 1 species
AGACCCGAAACCCGGUGAUCUAGCCAUGGGCAGGUUGAAGGUUGGGUAACACUAACUGGAGGACCGAACCGACUAAUGUUGAAAAAUUAGCGGAUGACCUGUGGCUGGGGGUGAAAGGCCAAUCAAACCGGGAGAUAGCUGGUUCUCCCCGAAAGCUAUUUAGGUAGCGCCUCGUGAAUUCAUCUCCGGGGGUAGAGCACUGUUUCGGCUAGGGGGCCAUCCCGGCUUACCAACCCGAUGCAAACUGCGAAUACCGGAGAAUGUUAUCACGGGAGACACACGGCGGGUGCUAACGUCCGUCGUGAAGAGGGAAACAACCCAGACCGCCAGCUAAGGUCCCAAAGUCAUGGUUAAGUGGGAAACGAUGUGGGAAGGCCCAGACAGCCAGGAUGUUGGCUUAGAAGCAGCCAUCAUUUAAAGAAAGCGUAAUAGCUCACUGGUCGAGUCGGCCUGCGCGGAAGAUGUAACGGGGCUAAACCAUGCACCGAAGCUGCGGCAGCGACACUAUGUGUUGUUGGGUAGGGGAGCGUUCUGUAAGCCUGUGAAGGUGGCCUGUGAGGGUUGCUGGAGGUAUCAGAAGUGCGAAUGCUGACAUAAGUAACGAUAAAGCGGGUGAAAAGCCCGCUCGCCGGAAGACCAAGGGUUCCUGUCCAACGUUAAUCGGGGCAGGGUGAGUCGACCCCUAAGGCGAGGCCGAAAGGCGUAGUCGAUGGGAAACGGGUUAAUAUUCCCGUACUUGGUGUUACUGCGAAGGGGGGACGGAGAAGGCUAUGUUGGCCGGGCGACGGUUGUCCCGGUUUAAGCGUGUAGGUGUGUGUUCCAGGUAAAUCCGGUUCACUUUAACAC